rnacentral:rRNA from 1 species
GAUGAACGCUAGCGGCAGGCCUAACACAUGCAAGUCGAGGGGUAGCAGGAUUAAGCUUGCUUAAUUGCUGACGACCGGCGCACGGGUGCGUAACGCGUAUGCAACCUACCUUAUACUGGGGUAUAGCCCGGAGAAAUUCGGAUUAAUCCCCCAUAGUACUAAUGAAUCGCAUGGUUUAUUAGUUAAAGCAUUGCGGUAUAAGAUGGGCAUGCGUCCUAUUAGCUAGAUGGUGAGGUAACGGCUCACCAUGGCUACGAUAGGUAGGGGGCCUGGGAGGGUGGUCCCCCACACUGGUACUGAGACACGGACCAGACUCCUACGGGAGGCAGCAGUGAGGAAUAUUGGUCAAUGGGCGCAAGCCUGAACCAGCCAUGCCGCGUGCAGGAAGAAUGCCCUAUGGGUUGUAAACUGCUUUUAUUUGGGAAUAAACCUCUUUACGUGUAGAGAGCUGAAGGUACCAAACGAAUAAGCACCAGCUAACUCCGUGCCAGCCGCCGCCGUAA